UGCAUGUAAAGAUUGUAAGUUAUAUGUAUGCUGUAGAUGUUGAUAUGUUCCUAUAUCAAUCCUUAAUUGUGUUCAUUGUGAGAUGAAUACAGUUUAAAGAAAAUGGGGUUAUGUUUCUUUGUAGUUGUGCUACAACGCUGCACCAUCGCCAUUUUAAAGCUCCAGGAGAGCCCAUUUUAUUGGUUACUUUGGUCAGGUUUUUUACUUGGGAGUACAGUUCAGUGAUGAUCCAGUCCAAAGAUGGCGAGCCACCCUUCCAGGAUCCUUGAGAUGAUUGUUUUAAGAAGAGAACUAAAUUCUUUGGACGAACCGUGAACUGUACAAACUCUACUUAAGUGGUAGGACAGAUUUGCACUUCAUUCCUCCUUUGCGCAUCCUGCAAGGAGAAUCCUCAUUGCUGGACUCACACUUAAGGGUGUCGGCUGACACAAGAGAGAGACUGAGUCAAAUCCCCCGGGGGUGUGUGUGUUUUGUUUAUUAUUUUCCGUGACUUGGGCCCAAUUUUUCCUUUCAUGUACUGUUAUUGUUUUCAUUGUAUGUAUGUGAGAUUCUUUAAUUGUGAAUACAAACUGAUCAAACCAA